AUUGAACGCUGGCGGCAGGCCUAACACAUGCAAGUCGAGCGGAUGAUGGGAGCUUGCUCCCGGAUUCAGCGGCGGACGGGUGAGUAAUGCCUAGGAAUCUGCCUGGUAGUGGGGGACAACGUCUCGAAAGGGACGCUAAUACCACAUACGUCCUACGGGAGAAAGCAGGGGACCUUCGGGCCUUGCGCUAUCAGAUGAGCCUAGGUCGGAUUAGCUAGUUGGUGAGGUAAUGGCUCACCAAGGCGACGAUCCGUAACUGGUCUGAGAGGAUGAUCAGUCACACUGGAACUGAGACACGGUCCAGACUCCUACGGGAGGCAGCAGUGGGGAAUAUUGGACAAUGGGCGAAAGCCUGAUCCAGCCAUGCCGCGUGUGUGAAGAAGGUCUUCGGAUUGUAAAGCACUUUAAGUUGGGAGGAAGGGUUGUACGUUAAUACCGUGCAAUUUUGACGUCACCGAUAGAAUAAGCACCGGCUAACUCUGUGCCAGCAGCCGCAGUAAGAC
rnacentral:rRNA from 1 species